AUUGAACGCUGGCGGCAUGCCUUACACAUGCAAGUCGAACGGCAGCGCGGACUUCGGUCUGGCGGCGAGUGGCGAACGGGUGAGUAAUACAUCGGAACGUACCCUGUUGUGGGGGAUAACUAGUCGAAAGAUUAGCUAAUACCGCAUACGACCUGAGGGUGAAAGUGGGGGACGGCAAGGCCUCACGCAGCAGGAGCGGCCGAUGUCUGAUUAGCUAGUUGGUGGGGUAAAGGCCCACCAAGGCGACGAUCAGUAGCUAGUCUGAGAGGACGAUCAGCCACCCUGGGAGUGAGACACGGCCCAGACUCCUACGGGAGGCAGCAGUGGGGAAUUUUGGACAAAGGGGGCAACCCUGAUCCAGCAAUGCCGCGUGUGUGAAGAAGGCCUUCGGGUUGUAAAGCACUUUUGUCCGGAAAGAAAUCGCGCUGGUUAAUACCUAGCGUGGAUGACGGUACCGGAAGAAUAAGCACCGGCUAACUACGUG
rnacentral:rRNA from 1 species